ACAUAUUUUUACGUCAAUGAUUAUCAAUAGGAGAAAGUCAUCGCUCUGUAAUUGGCCCUUGGACUCCCCUGGCAUCUCGUGUACAGCAUGAAGUUUUCAGCUAUGAAGGUAUAUUUUAGGCCUAUGUCUUAGUGUCCAGUGUUUUAAAAGUAUUGAAAAUAGUGCCUUUAGGUGUUUUUUUUUUUUGUUGUUUUUGUUUUUUAAUUGUAGAUUUCCAGAGACUCCAGAAUUAAAAACAAGCCGUGAUGGAUGAGAACCAAGCUCUGAGGGAAAGCACUGCACGAGCAGCUUCGGAUGACAGCGGCUCACUUCAAGAGCAGGUGAAGCAAGUUGGGACAAUGUUGAAGACGUUUGCUCGCACUGGGCAAUCAGGUGCAGAUCAGACCUUAAUGCUGCGACGUCUUGGAGAGUUUGGCGAUGUUGUGCGUAGCAUGGACAACAACAUGGACACUAUGCUGCAACAUUUCAGUGCCAAUGUGUCUGUUGGAGAGUUAUCCCUGCCAGGGGAUCUGUUACUCCCCCUAGACACCCAGGAAGAUUUGGCGUUGCUUGACAACAGUUUGAGGCAGGAUAAAGAGCUCCAGGAACGAUUUGCGUAAUAACUUCGUAUAGCAUACAUUAUACGAAGUUAUACGAGGCUGGCGGCAAGCC
rnacentral:lncRNA from 1 species